UCCGUAGGCGGACUAAUAAGUCAGGGGUGAAAUCCAGCAGCUUAACUGUUGAACUGCCCUUGAUACUGUUAGUCUUGAAUUAUAUGGAAGUAGAUAGAAUGUGUAGUGUAGCGGUGAAAUGCUUAGAGAUUACACAGAAUACCGAUUGCGAAGGCAGUCUACUACGUAUAUAUUGACGCUAAUGGACGAAAGCGUGGGGAGCGAACAGGAUUAGAUACCCUGGUAGUCC
rnacentral:rRNA from 1 species